rnacentral:rRNA from 1 species
GCAUAAUAAAUCGCCCUUUAAUUGGGGGCUAGUAUGAACGGAUAAACGAAGGCUAAACUGUCUCAACUAUAAAAAUAAAAAUUGGCCCUUAGGUGAAAAGACCUAAAUUUCCCUUUUGAGAGUUCACAUUGACAAAGGAUUUUGACACCUCGAUGUUGGCUUAGGGUCUCCGGAGGGUCAGCAGAAGCCCUCUAUGGUAGGUUUGUUCAACCUUUAAAACCCU